AUUGAACGCUGGCGGCAGGCCUAACACAUGCAAGUCGAGCGGAUGAAGGGAGCUUGCUCCUGGAUUCGGCGGCGGACGGGUGAGUAAUGCCUAGGAAUCUGCCUGGUAGUGGGGGAUAACGUCCGGAAACGGGCGCUAAUACCGCAUACGUCCCGAGGGAGAAAGUGGGGGAUCUUCGGACCUCACGCUAUCAGAUGAGCCUAGGUCGGAUUAGCUAGUUGGUGGGGUAAAGGCCUACCAAGGCGACGAUCCGUAACUGGUCUGAGAGGAUGAUCAGUCACACUGGAACUGAGACACGGUCCAGACUCCUACGGGAGGCAGCAGUGGGGAAUAUUGGACAAUGGGCGAAAGCCUGAUCCAGCCAUGCCGCGUGUGUGAAGAAGGUCUUCGGAUUGUAAAGCACUUUAAGUUGGGAGGAAGGGCAGUAAGUUAAUACCUUGCUGUUUUGACGUUACCAACAGAAUAAGCACCGGCUAACUUCGUG
rnacentral:rRNA from 1 species